AUUGAACGCUGGCGGCAUGCCUUACACAUGCAAGUCGAACGGCAGCACGGGGGCAACCCUGGUGGCGAGUGGCGAACGGGUGAGUAAUGCAUCGGAACGUGCCCAGUAGUGGGGGAUAACUAGUCGAAAGAUUAGCUAAUACCGCAUACGACCUAUGGGUGAAAGCGGGGGAUUCGCAAGAACCUCGCGCUAUCGGAGCGGCCGAUGUCUGAUUAGCUAGUUGGCGGGGAAAAGCCCACCAAGGCGACGAUCAGUAGCUGGUCUGAGAGGACGACCAGCCACACUGGGACUGAGACACGGCCCAGACUCCUACGGGAGGCAGCAGUGGGGAAUUUUGGACAAUGGGCGCAAGCCUGAUCCAGCCAUGCCGCGUGCGGGAAGAAGGCCU
rnacentral:rRNA from 1 species